GGAAAUAGAAGCACUAUGACAAAAGGGGCAUUGCCCCUUUAAAUUUCUCUUCUCAGCAAGCUAUAGUUUCAGAGAACAGCAGGCUUUAGGCCUGUGGAGUUUCCCUGGGAGCAGCAACAGCAGAUAGCAGUAGCAGGAAUCAUGAGGCGCUUGGCUAAAUUAGAGUUCUAUUUCUCUGAUUGUCUUAUGCUCAUUGCCAGUUUGUUUUGUACCUGAACCCCUUUGAGGAAAACUCAGAAAGCUUGAUAACAGCAAAGCCCAGAGAAGAGGACCUCCUUCAAAAGCUGUAUUGGAAGCCAUCAGAUGUGGACAAGUAUGAAUUGGCAACAAUGAGUCUCAUAACAUACUAUGUGGAAAUUCCCAUAUAUAAAAAAAGUCAUCUGAUUUAUGAAAACACAUAUUACAGUUAAGACCGUAUGCUGCCAACAGACCAGACCAGAGGCCAAGCACUGAUGGCCACAAGGAACGUUUACACUUAAUAUAGCUUCUGGGACUUCUAAUCCAUACUGUCUGGGUCUGUAUGCUGUAAUGCUAAAAACAGUAUAUGAACGUGUAUUACAUGUAUUGAGUUUGUCAGGUCUGAAACAGGAAUUGCUCAUUUAAAAAAAAAAUUGAACCCUUUGUCAGCUCAACAUGGUUCAUGACCUCAUUCCAGUGCAUCCUUUGCCCAACAUUGACCUCAUGCAUUACAUUGCCAGGGUGGACAUUUGAGCCAGCUUUUGUUUGUAUAAAUAAUCAAUUGGAGCAGGAGAGGACAAAUUAUGUCAUCUCCACAUGUUAAUACUAGGGCUGUCAAUUAAUCGCAGUUAACUCACGCGAUUAACUAAAAAAAAUUAAUCACAAUUAAAAUUAAUCACAAUUAAUCACACUCAAACAAU